AUGCAAGUCGGACGGGAUCCAUCGGUAGCUUGCUAUCCAUGGUGAGAGUGGCGCACUGGGUGCGUAACGCGUGAGCAACCUGCCUCCAUCAGGGGGAUAGCCUCUCGAAAGAGAGAUUAACACCGCAUAACAUAUUGUACCGGCAUCGGAAGAUUAUUAAAUAUUUAUAGGAUGGAGAUGGGCUCGCGUGACAUUAGCUAGUUGGUGGGGUAACGGCUUACCAAGGCGACGAUGUCUAGGGGCUCUGAGAGGAGAAUCCCCCACACUGGUACUGAGACACGGACCAGACUCCUACGGGAGGCAGCAGUAAGGAAUAUUGGUCAAUGGGCGGAAGCCUGAACCAGCCAUGCCGCGUGCAGGAUGACUGCCCUAUGGGUUGUAAACUGCUUUUGUCCGGGAAUAAACCUCCUUACGAGUAGGGAGCUGAAUGUACCGGAAGAAUAAGGAUCGGCUAACUCCGUGCCAGCAGCCGCGGUAAUACGGAGGAUCCGAGCGUUAUCCGGAUUUAUUGGGUUUAAAGGGUGCGUAGGCGGCCCGUUAAGUCAGGGGUGAAAUACGGUGGCUCAACCAUCGCAGUGCCUUUGAUACUGACGGGCUUGAAUCCAUAUGAAGUGGGCGGAAUAAGACAAGUAGCGGUGAAAUGCAUAGAUAUGUCUUAGAACUCCGAUUGCGAAGGCAGCUCACUAAGCUGGUAUUGACGCUGAUGCACGAAAGCGUGGGGAUCGAACAGGAUUAGAUACCCUGGUAGUCCACGCCCUAAACGAUGAUAACUCGAUGUUGGCGAUAGACAGCCAGCGUCCCAGCGAAAGCGUUAAGUUAUCCACCUGGGGAGUACGCCCGCAAGGGUGAAACUCAAAGGAUUGACGGGG
rnacentral:rRNA from 1 species